AGAGUUUGAUCCUGGCUCAGGACGAACGCUGGCGGCAUGCCUAACACAUGCAAGUCGAACGGAGUUUAAUUGACAGAAGCCUUCGGGCAGAAGACGAUUAAACUUAGUGGCGGACGGGUGAGUAACGCGUGGAUAACCUGCCUUAUAGAGGGGGACAACAGUUGGAAACGACUGCUAAUACCGCAUAAGGUCUCGAGACCGCAUGAUCUUGAGAAGAAAGAUGGCCUCUGAAAAUGCUAUCGCUAUAAGAUGGAUCCGCGUCUGAUUAGCUAGUUGGUGAGGUAACGGCUCACCAAGGCAACGAUCAGUAGCCGGCCUGAGAGGGUGAACGGCCACAUUGGGACUGAGACACGGCCCAAACUCCUACGGGAGGCAGCAGUGGGGAAUCUUCCGCAAUGGGCGAAAGCCUGACGGAGCAAUGCCGCGUGAAUGAAGAAGGCCUUCGGGUCGUAAAAUUCUGUCCUUAUUGAAGAGAGGUUCAUGUGUAAACAAUGCAUGAAUAGGACGGUAGAUAAGGAGGAAGCCCCGGCUAACUACGUGCCAGCAGCCGCGGUAAUACGUAGGGGGCGAGCGUUGUCCGGAAUCACUGGGCGUAAAGGACGCGUAGGCGGCCUAGUAAGUCAGAUGUGAAAAGUGAGGGCUCAACCCUUAGAGUGCAUCUGAUACUGCUAGGCUUGAGUACAGAAGAGGAAAGCGGAAUUCCUAGUGUAGCGGUGAAAUGCGUAGAUAUUAGGAGGAACACCAGUGGCGAAGGCGGCUUUCUGGGCUGAAACUGACGCUGAGGCGCGAAAGCGUGGGGAGCAAACAGGAUUAGAUACCCUGGUAGUCCACGCCGUAAACGAUGGGUACUAGGUGUCGGGGGGUAUCGAUACCCUCGGUGCCGGAGUAAACACAAUAAGUACCCCGCCUGGGGAGUACGAUCGCAAGAUUGAAACUCAAAGGAAUUGACGGGGGCCCGCACAAGCGGUGGAGCAUGUGGUUUAAUUCGACGCAACGCGAAGAACCUUACCAAGACUUGACAUCCUGCUGACGGAUUGGGUAAUGCCGAUCGUUCUACUUCGGUAGACAGCAGAGACAGGUGGUGCAUGGUUGUCGUCAGCUCGUGUCGUGAGAUGUUGGGUUAAGUCCCGCAACGAGCGCAACCCUUGUCUUUAGUUGCCAGCAUUAAGUUGGGCACUCUAAAGAGACUGCCGGUGACAAACCGGAGGAAGGUGGGGAUGACGUCAAAUCAUCAUGCCCCUUAUGUCUUGGGCUACACACGUGCUACAAUGGUCGGUACAAAGGGCAGCGAGACCGCGAGGUGGAGCGAAUCCCAAAAAGCCGAUCCUAGUUCGGAUUGCAGGCUGCAACCCGCCUGCAUGAAGUCGGAAUCGCUAGUAAUCGCAGGUCAGCAUACUGCGGUGAAUACGUUCCCGGGCCUUGUACACACCGCCCGUCACACCACGAAAGUUGGUAACACCCGAAGCCGGUGGUCUAACCGCAAGGAGGAAGCUGUCGAAGGUGGGACUAAUGAUUGGGGUGAAGUCGUAACAAGGUA
rnacentral:rRNA from 1 species